rnacentral:ncRNA from 1 species
UACUGCGAGGUGUAAUCUGAAGAAAGUCUAAGGAAGCACUUCACCAAUGAACAAGAGGUAGCUAUAAGUCUGCUAAGCAAGCUAAAGUUCAAUAUUUCUCUAGGCUGUCUUUAGUAAAUCUAGCGGUAACAUGGUACGAAAGUUAAU